rnacentral:rRNA from 1 species
UUGAAAGGGAAACGAUUGAAGUCAGUCGUACCAGCGGGAAAUCAACCUUUCGAGUGGGGUUUUGGAGUUUUGAAGAGUGUCAAAACCUUUGAGAUUUCAAAAUUUUCGCUCCUUUGGUGUACUUUCUCGUGGGUAGGUUAACAUCGAUUUCGAUCAUCAUAAAAGGAUCGGAGGAAUGUAGCUUCGAUCUUGUAUUGAAGUGUUAUAGCCUUUGGUAAAUGUGAUGAUUGGGAUCGAGGAUUGCAACGAAUACCCUUUUGGGCUAUCCGCCUGAUCUCUGAUACGUGGCCUUGGCAUCGAAAGCUUGCUUAUGGUAUCAAGGUAUUACGGUCAAAAGGUUAGAACGGAUUACAUUCGUUAAGGAUGUUGACGUA